rnacentral:rRNA from 1 species
UACAGAGGCCUCGAGCGUUAGGCGGAAUCACUGGGCUUAAAGCGUGUGUAGGCGGGCGAUCAAGUACCUUGUGAAAUCCCACGGCUCAACCGUGGAACUGCUGGGUAUACUGGUUGUCUUGAGCCAGCUAGGGGCGAGCGGAACAGACGGUGGAGCGGUGAAAUGCGCAGAUAUCAGGAGGAACACCGGUGGCGAAGGCGGUUCUCUGGGCCUGUACUGACGCUGAGGAGCGAAAGCGUGGGGAGCAAACAGG